GUGAGGAAUUUUCCGCAAUGGGCGAAAGCCUGACGGAGCAAUGCCGCGUGAAGGAUGAAGGCCUAUGGGUUGUAAACUUCUUUUCUCAGAAAAGAAUUAUGACGGUAUCUGAGGAAUAAGCAUCGGCUAACUCUGUGCCAGCAGCCGCGGUAAGACAGAGGAUGCAAGCGUUAUCCGGAAUGAUUGGGCGUAAAGCGUCUGUAGGUUGUUUAAAAAGUAUUCUGUCAAAGAUUAGGGCUUAACCCUAGAUAGGCAGAAUAAACUUUUAAGCUAGAGUUUGGUAGAGGCGGAGGGAAUUCCCGGUGGAGCGGUGAAAUGCGUAGAUAUCGGGAGGAACACCAAAGGCGAAGGCACUCUGCUGGGCCAAUACUAACACUGAGAGACGAAAGCGAGGGGAGCAAAUGGGAUUAGAAACCCGGGUAGUCC
rnacentral:rRNA from 1 species